GUCCCAAAGAAACAAAAGCACUCGUGGAAAACCAACAUUCAUUUCUUCAGAUGGUGUUUUAAGGUCAACUGUCUACAAUGUAUUUCCAA